UUCCGCUUCGGCAGCACAUAUACUAAAAUUGGAAGGAUACAGAGAAGGUUAGCAUGGCCCCUGCGCAAGGGUGACACGCAAAUUCUGUUUAUUUUUAAUUAAAUUU